GACCGCUGUGUCCGGCUGUGUAUAGUAUAACUAAAUGCCUCACGAAUACGUAUACUGGAAAAACAAGGAAUCCGGAGACUUUUGCUCUGGUGCCAAUGGCAAUGUAAAGGCCGAUUUACACAACACAACUUUUGCCUAAAACUGUCGCAUGCAACCUGCUUACAACUUGAGUUGUACUGUGUAAAUCAAGCACAUAACUCACCUGCGUUGUCGUGAGUUGUGUACUUGAUUUACAGAGUACAACUCAAG